rnacentral:rRNA from 2 species
UUUCGCAAUGCCCGAAAGGGUGACGAAGCGACGCCGCGUGUGGGAAGAAGGCCUUCGGGUUGUAAACCACUGUCGGGAGUUAAGAAAUGCAAGGAUAUUAAUAGUGUCUUUGCUUGACUAAGGCUCCGGAGGAAGCCACGGCUAACUCUGUGCCAGCAGCCGCGGUAAUACAGAGGCGGCAAGCGUUGUUCGGAAUUAUUGGGCGUAAAGAGCACGUAGGCGGCUAUGUAAGUCGGUUGUGAAAGCCUUCCGCUCAACGGGAGAACAGCAUCCGAUACUACAUGGCUUGAGUGCGGGAGGGGAGAGUGGAACUUCUGGUGGAGCGGUGAAAUGCGUAGAUAUCAGAAGGAACGCCGGCGGCGAAAGCGGCUCUCUGGCCCAUAACUGACGCUGAGUGUGCGAAAGCUAGGGGAGCAAACGGGAUUAGAUACCCCGGUAGUCCUAGCCGUAAACGAUGGGCACUAAGUAGAGGGGUUUU